GAUGAACGCUGGCGGCGUGCCUAAUACAUGCAAGUCGAGCGAACGGACGAGAAGCUUGCGUCUCUGAUGUUAGCGGCGGACGGGUGAGUAACACGUGGAUAACCUACCUAUAAGACUGGGAUAACUUCGGGAAACCGGCGCUAAUACCGGAUAAUAUUUUGAACCGCAGGGUGCAAAGGUGAAAGACGGUCUUGCUGUCACUUAUAGAGGGAUCCGCGCUGCAUUAGCUAGUUGGUAAGGUAACGGCUUACCACGGCAACGAUGCAUAGCCGACCGGAGAGGGUGAUCGGCCGCACUGGAACUGAGACGCGGUCCAGACUCCUACGGGAGGCAGCAGUAGGGAAUCUUCCGCAAUGGGCGAAAGCCUGACGGAGCAACGCCGCGUGAGUGAUGAAGGUCUUCGGAUCGUAAAACUCUGUUAUUAGGGAAGAACAUAUGUGUAAGUAACUGUGCACAUCUUGACGGUACCUAAUCAGAAAGCCACGGCUAACUACGUG
rnacentral:rRNA from 1 species